rnacentral:tRNA from 1 species
AUUUUCUUAAUAUAUAAAGUAUAUUUGACUUCCAAUCAAAAAGUCUAGAUUAUCUAGAGAAAAUA